AUUAGGGACACUGAUAGAAGAGGCUUCUAUGCUCUGUGACUGCCUUUCGUGGAAAGCUCACACUGGCAGAAAGUGCUCUUGACCCAACUUGGGAGAGGAGAAUGUGGUCACAGAAACUUCGGACAAUUUGGCCUUACAACACCUGCAGCACCCUGUCUGGUGUUUCAUUGCCUAUGGGUAUUUACGAAAACUAGUUUUGGCAAGCGUUCUGCAGGAAGUUUUAGGCGUGGCUGUGAAUGCAUUGUUUUAGAGCCUUCUGAAAUGAUUGUGGUGGACUAUAUGGAUGAAAAUGAAGAAUAUUUUCAGCGGCAAGCUUCCCAUAGACAGUCUCGAAGGAGAUUUAGAAAAAUCAACCAGAAAGGUGAAAGACAAACAAUUAUUGACACUGUGGAUCCUUAUCCCAUGGGCAAACCUCCUUUGCCUAGAGGCUAUC
rnacentral:lncRNA from 1 species